rnacentral:rRNA from 1 species
CCUACGGGAGGCAGCAGUGGGGAAUUUUUCGCAAUGGGGGCAACCCUGACGAAGCAAUGCCGCGUGGAUGAAGAAGGCCUUCGGGUUGUAAAGUCCUUUCGUGGGGGACGAAAAGGCGGGUCCGAAUACGGUCUGCUAUUGACGUGAACCCAAGAAGAAGCACCGGCUAACUCCGUGCCAGCAGCCGCGGUAAUACGGAGGGUGCGAGCGUUAAUCGGAAUUACUGGGCGUAAAGGGCGCGUAGGCGGUGGGUUACGUCUGCCGUGAAAUCCCCGGGCUCAACCUGGGAAUGGCGGUGGAAACGGGCUGACUGGAGUAUGGGAGAGGGUGAUGGAAUUCAGGUGUAGCGGUGAAAUGCGUAGAGAUCUGGAGGAACACCAGUGGCGAAGGCGGUCACCUGGCCCAAUACUGACGCUGAGGCGCGAAAGCGUGGGGAGCAAACAGGAUUAGAUACCUGGUAGUCCACGCCCUAAACGAUGGAUACUGGAUGUUUGGCGCCUUAAGUUGCUGAGUGCCGUAACUAACGCCAUAAGUAUUCCGCCUUGGGAAGUACGGCCGCAAGGGUUAAACUCAAAGGAAUUUGACGG